AAUCCAGACUCCUACGGGAGGCAGCAGUAGGGAAUUUUGCGCAAUGGGGGAAACCCUGACGCAGCAACGCCGCGUGAUCGAUGAAGCCCUUCGGGGUGUAAAGAUCUGUCAGUGGGGACGAAACCUGACGGUACCCACAGAGGAAGCACCGGCUAACUCCGUGCCAGCAGCCGCGGUAAUACGGGGGGUGCAAGCGUUGUCCGGAUUUACUGGGUGUAAAGGGCGUGCAGCCGGGCUGACAAGUCAGAUGUGAAAUCCCGCGGCUCAACCGCGGAACUGCAUUUGAAACUGUCAGUCUUGAGUACCGGAGAGGUCACCGGAAUUCCUUGUGUAGCGGUGAAAUGCGUAGAUAUAAGGAAGAACACCAGUGGCGAAGGCGGAUGACUGGACGGCAACUGACGGUGAGGCGCGAAAGCGUGGGGAGCAAACAGGAUUAGAUACCCUGGUAA
rnacentral:rRNA from 1 species